rnacentral:rRNA from 1 species
AGAGUUUGAUCCUGGCUCAGAAUCAACGCUGGCGGCGUGCCUAACACAUGCAAGUCGAGCGAGAAAGGGAACUUCGGUUCCUGAGUAGAGCGGCGGACGGGUGAGUAACACGUGGGUAAUCUGCCCUCGGGUGGGGGAUAACUCAGGGAAACCUGGGCUAAUUCCGCAUGACACUUUCGAUACAUAAGUAUUGAGAAUCAAAGCUGGGGACCCUUCGGGGCCUGGCGCCUGAGGAGGAGCCCGCGGCCAAUUAGCUUGAUGGUGAGGUAACGGCUCACCAUGGCUACGAUUGGUAGCCGGCCUGAGAGGGCGGACGGUCACACUGGGACUGAGACACGGCCCAGACUCCUACGGGAGGCAGCAGUGGGGAAUUUUUGUCAAUGGGGGAAACCCUGAACAAGCAACGCCGCGUGAAGGACGAAGACCUUCGGGUUGUAAACUUCUGUCGGAGGGGACGAAAGCAUUCGUGGUUAAUACCCAUGUUUGUUGACGGUACCCUACGAGGAAGCCCCGGCUAACUCCGUGCCAGCAGCCGCGGUAAUACGGGGGGGGCAAGCGUUGUUCGGAAUUACUGGGCGUAAAGGGCGCGCAGGCGGGCGGGAAAGUCUCUCGUGAAAUCCCACGGCUCAACCGUGGAAUUGCGGGAGAUACUACUCGUCUUGAGUCCGGGAGAGGAGUGUGGAAUUCCCAGUGUAGCGGUGAAAUGCGUAGAUAUUGGGAGGAACACCGGUGGCGAA